CGGGGUGAGUAAUGUAUGGGGAUCUGCCUGAUGGGGGGGGAGUAGCUACUGGAAACGGUAGCUAAUACCGCAUAAUGUCUACGGACCAAAGCGGGGGACCUCCGGGCCUCGCGCCAUCAGAUGAACCCAUAUGGGAUUAGCUAGUAGGUAAGGUAACGGCUUACCUAGGCGACGAUCCCUAGCUGGUCUGAGAGGAUGAUCAGCCACACUGGGACUGAGACACGGCCCAG
rnacentral:rRNA from 1 species